rnacentral:lncRNA from 10 species
UAAUUACUAUUUUUGACUUUGCCCUGUCACCUUUAUUCUUCAUCUCUUCUCUCACGUAGUUCUUUUCCCUCUGGAAGGCUGGUUUUUAUUCCACCUUUUCUUAAGUAAAGAAUUGGCUUUAGUUCUAAAUCAAGUGAUUGUCUAAGUAUGGCUGACGCAUGCCUGACCAAUUUCCUGAUCAGGUGCAUUAGCUAAACUGCUGUAAUUUAUAAAGUUAAGGAUUAGUACCACUGCACAUCAGCUUCUUUCAGUCUUUGUAUUAUUUAAAGAUACAGUUCAAAUUGUGUGUCUCAGAACUUAAAAAUUUAAACUCUAUAAAAUAAAGAGGUUCUUUGAAAUCACAGGUUGAAAUUUUUUUUUGAUUUUUUUAAAAUUUUUAGGUUGAUCAUAGUCAUUGAAGUAAAACUUUUUUGUGUGUGUGAUUACUUUCAAAACGUUAGUUAUUCUAAAAUCAGGUAAUUUUCUCUCACCUUCCUUGUCUCAAAAUGUGCCUAACAUUCAUUAGAAAUGUCUUCCUUGUUUAAGUAGAGUACUGGCAUAUUUCUGCUUUUUAGAUCCCAAAUCUAUUUUGGACUAUUCAAUAGGUGUAAAGUCAUUCUGCUCUCAAUUAUAGACCUUAAAAGCAUGCACAUUUGAAUACCCUCUCUAGGCCUAAGGUCCUCAUUAGUAAUUGAGGAUAAUAACAUGACUUACCCAUGGAUUUGUGGGGAUUAGUGAAACAAUGGCAGUGAAAAUGCUUCCCCCAUGAGAAUUAGUAUUAUUUCAGUCACAUUAAUCUUUAAAUGCAAACAAAAUUUGAAUACUACUCUUGCCACCAUGACCUAGAAAAAUAUUGAAUAUUCAUUAUUAGAUAUUUGUGGCAAAUAUCAUUUACUAUAUCUUCCCAACUGCCAAUGACUUAUUGAUGGCCUUUAUUCAAAAGCAACCGAGCCUCUGACAGCUAUGUUUAAAUCUCAAGAUCUGCAUCACCCUCUGUGACAUCAGAUUUUCUUCCCCUAGGAGCUGAAAUGAGUGAUCACCACUUAGUCUCUGUGGUCCCUUGAAUGGUGAAUAUGAAGUCUCUUAAUUGUUGGGUACACAUGUAUGUGAAGCAUUGACAAAUCUGAGUCGCAAAGAGAGAUCAAUAAGGUAGAAAAUGAGGGAUGUCAAGAGUCAAUAAGAAAGCAAUGUAUAGAGCUUUCCGGUAAAUCUUUCGACUCAUUAUGUUUUCUGGUCAACCCUACUGAGGAAAUGAAACACAUGCCCAGCUGCUAAUCAAGCUGCAAUGUUCUCAAUGUAACAACGGUUUCAACAAGACUGGUGGAAUUAGAUCAGAUCAAACUGCAAUCCUCCAAAUGACUAAUUUACUUUAUUUUGAAAUAUCGCUACUUCUUCGCCAAUUUCAAUCCUAGCUCCACUGUAAU